rnacentral:rRNA from 1 species
GGAAUAACUGGGCGUAAGGGCAUGCAGCGGUUAUACAAGUAGGAUGUGAAAGCCUGGGGCUCAACCUCAGAACUGCAUUCUAAACUGUGUGACUAGAGUAUUGCAGGGGGAGACGGAAUUCCAGGUGUAGCGGUGGAAUGCGUAGAUAUCUGAAAGAACACCAAAGGCGAAGGCAGUCUCCUGGGCAAAUACUGACGCUCAUAUGCGAAGGCGUGGGUAGCAAACAGGAUUAGAUACCCUGGUAGUCCACGCCGUAAAUGAUGUCAAUUAGGAGCUUGAGCAAUAGUUUGGGUUCCGAAGCAAACGCAAUAAAUUGACCGCCUGGGGAGUACGGCCGCAAGGUUAAAACUCAAAUGAAUUGACGGGGGCCCGCACAAGCGGUGGAGCAUGUGGUUUAAUUCGACGCAACGCGAAGAACCUUACCUGAUCUUGACAUAGCAAGAACCUCUCUGAAGGGAGAGGGUGCCUUCGGGAAUUUGCAUACAGGUGCUGCAUGGCUGUCGUCAGCUCGUGUCGUGAGAUGUUGGGUUAAGUCCCGCAACGAGCGCAACCCUUGUCCUUUGUUGCCAGCGAUUAGGUCGGGCACUCAAAGUGAGACUGCCCAGUGACAAACUGGAGGAAGGCAGGGAUGACGUCAAGUCAUCAUGGCCCUUACGGUCAGGGCUACACACGUGCUACAAUGGGGCGUACAGAGGGAAACGAUACCGUGAGGUGGAGUGGAACCCACAAAGCGUCCCUAAGUUCGGAUUGGAGUCUGCAACUCGACUCCAUGAAGUCGGAAUCGCUAGUAAUCGCAAAUCAGAAUGUUGCGGUGAUACGUUCCCG